rnacentral:rRNA from 1 species
UACGAAGGGGGCUAGCGUUGCUCGGAAUCACUGGGCGUAAAGGGUGCGUAGGCGGGUCUUUAAGUCAGGGGUGAAAUCCUGGAGCUCAACUCCAGAACUGCCUUUGAUACUGAGGAUCUUGAGUUCGGGAGAGGUGAGUGGAACUGCGAGUGUAGAGGUGAAAUUCGUAGAUAUUCGCAAGAACACCAGUGGCGAAGGCGGCUCACUGGAUCGGUACUGACGCUGAGGUGCGAAAGCGUGGGGAGCAAACAGG